AGUUCCUGGGUGCUAAGUCAACCAUGUUGAGUGCUGAUUCAAAGAGGAUGGCUGGUCCACUUGGCAAGACCACUUUUAUCCUCUUUUUUGCCAGUCACCAAGAAGAGUAUUUGAAAGUCACUGGCAGCAUUUAUUUCUCUUGAUGGAUUCAUUCAACUUUGGCAAGAGAAAAUGUUUCUGUGUUGCCUGUGGUUGUAGUGCAAAACUCAGAGGGUAUGCAAACAAUUCAAAAAUGGCUUAUUGGAAGUCCUUAUUGGAUUGGUUUUAGAUAUUAAGAUGAAGGUAAGAAUUUUUAUUUACUCUUGGAGUUCAGAGAAAUGGGUGGAAAAUUUAAUUAUUCUACUGUAAUUAUUUA
rnacentral:lncRNA from 1 species